rnacentral:lncRNA from 1 species
CCAAAGCCAGCAUUAGGGAUGUGCAAGUGACUACUGAACAAUCCAACUGCUUGCCGAGACUCUCAUCGGAGGUCCUCUGUGUCCUUGCACAUCGUUGGACGGUUAUUCUGGCAAUGCCGAAGUGCUUCAAGUGGAAGGGAAAGGGAACUCACAUUCGCUAAGCACCCGCACCGUGCCAAGCACUGCACUCCCUGCCUCACCCAUGAGAUCUUCAUCUGAUCCUCUCACCAAAUUCAAGAGAUCAGCUUCUGCUGUGGAAAUGGAGCCUUGGAGUGGUGUGCAUGAUAAGAUGUUGAGUAAACCUGCAGGAAAGGAAGGCCCAUCAUUCAUUCACCAAACAGAAACAUACAAGAGAACAAAGAGAGCCUAGCGCGGGGUGGUUUCAUAUUUUACAUGGAAAGAGGCUACAAUUACGUGUGUGGUCAGACCCACAGUGGAAUCCUUCUACCUGUGAAUGUACCCGCUGGGACCUCUAUCUACUAUGGACUCCAAACGCCUAAGAGUUGCCUACUUUGGGUUUUUCUGCCCCUUCUGUUCCACCUACUUUGCAGGGUGGACGUGUUGGGCUCCGAAGCCAUCCUGUUCCCGUUGCACAGAAGCUCCCUACGCCUUAUCAUCCCCGGGCUGUCCGGGGCAGCAGGGCAACUGCCGAUCUUUAAGAACAUGUUCUCCUCCAUUAAAGAGAAAUCUGAAGUUCAAAAGACUGACACCAAGUCCAGAGCCCCAACAAAAAAUUAAACAUUUAAAUUAAUAACUGCAAUUUUUAACAAAGACUAAUUACAAAACAUAAAGGCCAAACAGGGAACUUGAUUUAUAUUAUCAACUUCAAAGUAACAAAGACAGAAAACGGACUGAGAGGCCUUCCAGGUGCUAAUAAUCAAUUAGGUCAUAUUCAUGGGAAAGAACCCCCAGCCCCCAUCCCUCCAUCUCCUGGCUCAAGUGGCUUAUACAAUAGGGACCCCGGAACGAGGAAACAGGUGGUGGCUCCCUAGCUUUGCAGACUUCAGAGCUGUUUAUUAGUUUGACAUGGGAGCUUCAGUGCCUCCACUACUGUUGUCCAAGGACACGCUGCAGGCCAGGCUCCAGCAUUGCCUUCAGGCUGCGGUACAGAAAGGACAAAACCCAGAGGCUGAGGUCGGAGAGAACACAGGUCAAGCAUCACAGCGCUGAGAAGGGCAACCUUCGCCAUUCCUAGUUCGUGUGCACCUGGUCCAGUCAUUCUGCUGAACGUACUGGAGCAAGCGACCCUCCUUAGGAAUAUGGUUCAGGAACGCUCUGAUUAAAAUCUGAUUUUCUGAAAUGUUUCAAAUAAGAUCGACGACGGACAAUAGAACCGACCCUAUCAGUUGUAACCCAGACUCACUGGACUUUGGCUGCAACAUGUCCAGCCCCUGAAACAGGACAAGUAUAAUGAAAACAGCAGCUUUUCACUUGCUGCAAUAAUGAUAAUAAUAAUACAUAACGUUUAUUAAGUGCUUUUGUGCAUUUUACAUAUUUUGUCUAAUCCUAAUUGUUACAUUCUAAAUAAAUAUAUUUUGCUUAAAAU